UGCGUGCUGAGGCGGGACGUGGCCCGGCUGACCGGCUCCGGCGGCGCCUGGGCGGGGACGGCCGUGGCGGCGACGGGCGGCGGCGCGGGCGCGGCGGGCCCGGCGGGCGGCGGGGCGCUGACGGCCGGGGGGGCGGCGACGGCGGCGGGCCGGGCGGCGGGCGAGCGGGGGAAGAUGGCGGAGCUCGGCAAGAAGUACUGCGUGUACUGCCUGGCCGAGGUGAGCCCGCUGCGCUUCCGCUGCACGGAGUGCCAGGACAUCGAGCUGUGCCCCGAGUGCUUCUCGGCCGGCGCCGAAAUCGGCCACCACCGCCGCUACCACGGCUACCAGCUGGUGGACGGCGGGCGCUUCACGCUCUGGGGGCCCGAGGCCGAGGGCGGCUGGACCAGCCGCGAGGAGCAGCUGCUGCUGGACGCCAUCGAGCAGUUCGGCUUCGGCAACUGGGAAGACAUGGCUGCCCAUGUUGGUGCUUCGCGGACUCCCCAAGAAGUAAUGGAGCACUACGUGAGCAUGUACAUCCAUGGAAACCUGGGGAAGGCCUGUAUCCCCGACACCAUCCCCAACCGGGUGACUGACCACACCUGCCCCAGUGGAGGUCCCCUCUCACCCAGCCUCACCACGCCCCUGCCCCCUCUGGACAUCUCAGUGGCCGAGCAGCAGCAGCUGGGCUACAUGCCGCUGAGGGAUGACUAUGAGAUCGAGUACGACCAGGAUGCAGAGACGCUCAUCAGUGGGCUGUCCGUGAACUACGAUGAUGACGACGUGGAAAUUGAGCUCAAGCGCGCCCACGUGGACAUGUACGUGCGGAAGCUCAGGGAGCGGCAGCGCCGAAAGAACAUCGCCCGCGACUACAACUUGGUGCCAGCCUUUCUGGGCAGGGACAGGAAGGAGAAGGAGAAGGCCCCGAGGCGCAAGAUCACCAAGGAGGAGAAGGAGCUGCGACUGAAGCUGCGGCCACUCUACCAGUUCAUGUCAUGUAAAGAGUUUGACGACCUAUUUGAAAACAUGCACAAGGAGAAAAUGCUCCGGGCCAAAAUCAGAGAGCUGCAGCGGUAUCGGCGAAAUGGGAUCACAAAGAUGGAAGAGUCCGCAGAGUAUGAGGCUGCAAGGCACAAACGGGAGAGGAGGAAGGAGAACAAAAACAUGGCUGGCUCCAAAAGGGGGAAGGAGGACGGCAAAGACAGCGAGUUUGCAGCCAUUGAGAACCUUCCUGGGUUUGAGCUUUUGUCAGACCGUGAGAAGGUGCUCUGCAGCUCUUUGAACUUGAGUCCAGCACGCUACGUGACUGUGAAGACUAUCAUAAUUAAAGACCACCUCCAGAAGCGACAAGGAAUCCCCUCCAAAAGUCGCCUUCCCAGCUACCUGGACAAGGUCCUAAAGAAAAGGAUUUUAAAUUUCCUCACAGAAAGCGGGUGGAUAUCCAGGGAUGCAUCCUGAUUGCAGAGCGAUAUAAAGGAGCUUGUGAGCCAAAUGACUUGGGGGUGGGGGGAAAGCGCUUUCCCCCCAUUGUUGCUCUUUUAAACAAAUUGAGUUCCUUUUUCCAAGGUAUGAAUUCUUUCCACCAUCCUCUGAAAGAAGCAAUAGUAACGACCUUACUUUGGAUCAUGGGGGAAACAAAUGCGCAUCUAUUUUAACUUAUCCUAAAAGUAAUCCUUUAAGAUGACGAUUUGCCUUUGCGUGUUCCGUUUGAAGAAUACUACCAGGUUGGACGAUUGCCUUUUGUUUUGUGAGCCUUCUUCCCUUUAGGUUCAAAAGUACAAGAGCCUGUUUACCUCCCAGAAUGGUGGGGCUUGAAGUUACAGUGAAGUUAUGUUAAAGAAAAAAACCACCUCAUUUCCAAGGAUGACUUGAUUCCGUGCCUUUUCAUUUUACAUCUUGUCCCUUAGGGUAAGUUUUUCAGCAUUAAAUGAACCAUUUCAAAUAUACUAUCUAUGGCUUUAGUUGUGAAGUGCACUGUGGGCAGGUGAAGCACCUACAACUAUUGGCUAGGCCCAGAUUUCUCUUGACACCAAAAGAUACUGAGCAGUGGCAUCACUGAGGGUCAGCCCCACGCUGUCCCCUGCAGGGUAAACCAGACAGAAAGCUGGUGUCAUCGCUGACCAGCCAUGGAAUGGUACUAAGUUCUUAGUUGUCUUAAGUGAGUGGUUCUCAAAGUGGGUCCCUGGGCACUUGUUAGAAAUGCAGAAUUGGGCUCCACACGCCCAAAUUGUGGGGCUGCUGUGGAGAGGACUAGCAGGCUGUUCUUCAAACCUUCUAGGUGGCUGGGGUGCAAGUUCAAGUUUGAGAGCCACUGACUUUAGUUGUCUGGUGUUCUCAUUGAUCUUCUAUACCAGAAUCCUAGUUUGGUGAGGUCUUAAGUUUAGUCUUAUUUUUAUAUAAAAUGACAGCCAGACCUCUAAUAAGUGCAAAAAGCAGAGGGUCCCUGUUAAUGUGUGGCCCAGAUCAAGGGCUGGCAAACAAAAAAACUGCUUAAGCACGUUUGUACUGUGCAGAUCUCUUUGAUGGUAUGAAGAAUUUAUUUAGGAUUGACUUUUAAAACACCAUAAUGAAUGUAUAAUUAAUUUAUGUUGAAGUAUUAAUAUGCUGUUACAAGGGAAGUAAUUUUAGGAUUGGUUGCCUCUUCCGUCUGCUUCAGCUGUUUUUGUCACAUUAAGUCCUUACUCUACUCUUAGUUCAGAGCCUGACGUUUGUAUUUAAUUCUCAUGAUAAAUUACUUACUAGAACCCCAUGGAACUAGGUCUUUUCAAAAUUUAAACAAAUUUUGGGUCAAAAAAGUUAGGUAUUUCUUGAGCUAUUUAAUGUUUUCUGGGAGGCCAACAUUCCAAGAAUGUAUCAAAACUGCAACUCUACCAUUUUUAUUGCCCUUUUACAUAUUAAAUGAGUUGAGAAAAACAGUGUCACUGCUUGUUCUUCCCGUGCAAGUCUCAUAGAGUAAGUCACACUCCAGCCCAGGAUACAGACCUGCCCAGGCACUCCACCAUCCAGCCAGAUUCUCCCGCAACGUGGAAAUCUCCUGCCAACAUGGAAAGCUGCUUUCUGCUAAGCAGAACCAUUUUGGGCCAAUCCCCGCCCUGAAAGCAGCCUUCCUGGUUCCA